GGGGGCGUAGUCCAACUGGCAGAGACACAGCACUUAAACUGCUGACAGUGUGGGUUCGAAUCCCACCGCCCUCA
rnacentral:tRNA from 1 species